AUUGUACUACCAUGGGAUCAAUAGGAUGUCAUAACGAUGAAGAACAUAAAAGAAUAUGAUAAAACAUAAUCUUUGAAUUCUAAUUCAUUUUAGGAUAACCCUUUGAACUUAAGCAUAUCAGUAAAAGGAGGAAAAGAAACUAACGAGGAUUUCUUUAGUAGUGGCGAAUGAACAAGAAAGAACUCAUUAUGUAAUCUAUAUUCAUUAUAGAGAUGUUAAAAGUUAUUGUUGUCAUUCAAAUCAUAGAUACAUUAAAUUGUAGUAAAUGAUGACGAUAAAUAAACAAUGUAGAGUACGAUUGCUUGGUAGUGCAAUUGGAAUAUAGAUAGAAUAAAAUAUCUAAAGUUAAAUAUAAAUGACAUACCGAUAGAGAAUAAGUACUGCGAAGGAACUUGUGAAAAUGGUAGUAUUAGCUUAUAGUAAUUAUAUAAGACCCGUCUUGAAACACGGACCAAGGAGAUUACCGGCACAGCGAGGGGAAGGCACUAUGGCCUGUACCGAGAGAGAUCAGAGAGUUGUGUCGGUAAGACCCGAAAGAUAGUGAACUAUGCCUGUUGGUAUUGAAGUCAGGAGAAAUUCUGAUGGAGGAUAUUAGCCGUUCUGAUGUUCAAUUCGAUGGCGAGAGAUGGGCAUAGGGGCGAAAGACCAAACGAACUAUCUGGUAGCUGGUUACAGUCGAAAUGUCUCUCAGGACAGCGGUUGGCAGAUAGGAGGAUGCAGUAGAGAGGAUGUGGACGAAGUCAACAAACUCCGAAUGUGUGUAGUGGGGCACGUAGUGUUCCACACUCUAGGGCCAACCAGUGGGCAGAUUGUGGUAAGCAUGAUCUGCAAGGAGCAAAGAAGCUUGAAGGUGGAUAAGCGACCAAAGACAGAACAGGCAAUAAAGUAGAUGCUCAAGUGAAGACAGUAGGGCGGUUGUUAUGGAAGUAGAAAUCCGCUAAGAAACGUGUUAGAACUACCUAUCGAAUUUGGGAUUGACUAAAAUUGAAGGUGGUUAUCUGUGUUUGCGAGACCAGUAUAUUGGUAGACUGGCAAGAGGGCAGCGGAGAAGGAUGACGGAGACGUUGUGUGGAGGGGCCCUCUGAGCAGAUCUUGGAAGUAGUAGCGAUUAUGAUUAAGGCAUUGAGUCGGGUUCAUCCUUUGAAUUGAAGGAGGUGAUGCGAUCCUAAGUAAAGGGGAAUGUGUUUUUAUUCACAUGAUAGCUCUGAGAUAGCAAUAUAAUGACGACGGCUGGAUUUGAACUGGAGAGAAUUUUCCUGGUUUGGUAGGAUCUACGGAGAGUGAUGCAGAGAAGUAGAGGACCAGUCUGAUAAAAAGGAGGGAGCGAAUCGUACCGAACUGCAACAGGACUCAAGGGUGAGUAGCCCGAUGCCGGAGAGAACUCACGUAAGGGAAAUCGGCAAAAUGGAUGAGUAACUUUGGGAGAAUUAUUGGCUCUAGCAUGCUAGAACUGGGCUUACAAGGGGAAUCUGACUGUUUAAUAAAAACAUAGCCUUCUGAUGACGGAAGGUGAAUUCUGCCCAGUGCUUGGGACGUUAAGGAAGUAAUAUUUAGUACGCACAUGUAGACGGCGGGAGUAACUAUGACUCUCUUAAGGUAGCCAAAUGCCUCGUCAUCUAAUUAGUGACGCGCAUGAAUGGAGCAACGAGAUUCCCACUGUCCCUACGUGGGAAGCGCGAACCUACAGCCAAGGGAACGGGCUUGGGAUAAGCAGCGGGGAAAGAAGACCCUGUUGAGCUUGACUCUAGUGAGACAAAGGCACCUGCUGCGAUGGCGGAGCAAGGUGGGGGAAAUUGCAAGACCACUGGCAUAUGGAGUGGGUGCGUUAGUUGUCUGAUGGGGAGUUUGGCUGGGGCGGCACGACUGCUAAAAGAUAACGCAGUUGUCCAAAGGUGAGCUACGAGGGGAAGGAAACCACUCAUUGAGCAGAAGGGCAAAAGCUUGCUUUAGGCUCUAGUAUGAACUGGAGCUACUGGAAACAGGGGCCUAUAGAUCCUCUUCCAGGUUAUGGGGAGAGGUGACGGAAAAGUUACCACAGGGAUAACUGGCUUGUGGCGGCCGAGCGAACAUAGCGACGCCGCUUUUUGAUUCUUCGAUGUCGGCUCUUCCUAGCAUGGUGAAGCAGAAAUCACCUAGUGUUGGAUUGUUCACCCACCAACAGGGAACGUGAGCUGGGUUUAGACCGUCGUGAGACAGGUUAGUUUUACCCUACUGUUUAUAUUAUUAAGAAAAGUUAUAUAGUACGAGAGGAACAAUAAGUGAUGACCUCUGGUGUAGCGAUUAAUUAUUCAAUUAUGUUGCAAAACUACGUCAUGAAUAAUAAAUGCUGAAAGCCUCUUAAGCAUGAAGUUAAUCUUAAUGAUAAACAACUGAGGAAUACUACCUCUCUGAAGAGUGGGACUGUAAGAAUGAAGGUGUAUACCGACAUUUUGAGGUUACCAUUUCGUUCUGUAAAAAAAUA
rnacentral:rRNA from 1 species